rnacentral:rRNA from 1 species
AGCUGCCUGGUACCAUGAGGUGACUUCUGCGUAGUGCUCUUAUUAUAAAUGCGUAGAGAUCCAGCCAAACGCGGGUAGACGGCGGGAGUAACUAUGACUCUCUUAAGGUAGCAAAAUUACUCGUAAACCAAUUAUUGACACGCAUGAAUGGAUCAACGAGAUUCGUGUGGUCCCUAGUGGCUGUCCGGUGAACCAACAGCAAAGGGAACGAUCUUGGAUGUGUAAGCGGGGAAAGAAGACCCUGUUGAGUUUGACUCUAGUUUGAUGCUGUGCAGCGACAUGGGGGGUGUAGCACAGGUGGGAGGCGCGUGCAUCGUGUACGGUGGUGUGUGGCCCUCUCUUUCUCUAUCCAGGGACGCAAACCACACGUGAAAUGCCACUACCUUCACCGUCACUAUAAUAAUCGAGUGAGCCGGGACCAGUGAGACCUGCAUCCGAGCGAUCGUGGGUCCCCUCCUCGUCCCCUGCCGGGGGCGGGGAGCGCACACGGCCCUUCCUGCUCAGUGACCGACGCCUCCGGCAUCCGCACAGGGGUCCACCGUGGAUGUGUGUGCGAUCCAACCAACUAUAGCGAAGCAUAUAGACACUGCUCAGGUGAGGAAUUUGGCUGGGGCGGCACGCCUGUUACAUCACAACGCAGGCGUCCUGAAGCAAUCCUCAGGUGGAACGGAAAUCUCACGGGGAGGAUAGGGCCAAAGGUCCAGUACAAGCCCACAAACGUGCGAGUGUGGCCUASCGAUUCUUUGGUCAACGCACGAGUUCGGGAUAUGCGAAGCGCGAAGAUUCAGGAAAAUUACAACAGGCAUAAAUGGCUUGUGGCGGACAAGCGUUCACAGCGAUGUUGCCUUUUGAUCCUUCGAUGUCGGCUCUUCCUAGAUUCCCACCCGCAGCCGACCGCAAGAGGUGGAUUGUUCACCCACCAAC